rnacentral:rRNA from 1 species
GAUGAACGCUGGCGGCGUGCCUAAUACAUGCAAGUCGAGCGAACGGACGAGAAGCUUGCUUCUCUGAUGUUAGCGGCGGACGGGUGAGUAACACGUGGAUAACCUACCUAUAAGACUGGGAUAACUUCGGGAAACCGGAGCUAAUACCGGAUGAUAUUUUGAACCGCAUGGUUCAAAAGUGAAAGACGGUCUUGCUGUCACUUAUAGAUGGAUCCGCGCUGCAUUAGCUAGUUGGUAAGGUAACGGCUUACCAAGGCAACGAUGCAUAGCCGACCUGAGAGGGUGGUCGGCCACACUGGAACUGAGACACGGUCCAGACGCCUACGGGAGGCAGCAGUAGGGAAUCUUCCGCAAUGGGCGAAAGCCUGACGGAGCAACGCCGCGUGAGUGAUGAAGGUCUUCGGAUCGGAAAACUCUGUUAUUAGGGAAGAACAAAUGUGUAAGUAACUGUGCACAUCUUGACGGUACCUAAUCAGAAAGCCACGGCUAACUACGUG